rnacentral:rRNA from 1 species
CCUACGGGAGGCAGCAGUGGGGAAUAUUGCACAAUGGGGGAAACCCUGAUGCAGCGACGUCGCGUGAGUGAAGAAGUAUUUCGGUACGUAAAGCUCUAUCAGCAGGGAAGAAAAUGACGGUACCUGACUAAGAAGCCCCGGCUAACUACGUGCCAGCAGCCGCGGUAAUACGUAGGGGGCACGCGUUAUCCGGAUUUACUGGGGGUAAAGGGAGCGUAGACGGCAGCGCAAGUCUGGAGUGAAAUCCCAUGGCUUAACCCUGGAACUGCUUUGGAAACUGUGCAGCUAGAGUGCAGGAGAGGUAAGCGGAAUGCCUAGUGUAGCGGUGAAAUGCGUAGAUAUUAGGAGGAACCCCAGUGGCGAAGGCGGCUUACUGGACUGUAACUGACGUUGAGGCUCGAAAGCGUGGGGAGCAAACAGGAUUAGAUACCCGUGUAGUC